rnacentral:rRNA from 1 species
GAUGAACGCUGGCGGCGUGCCUAACACAUGCAAGUCGAGCGGACAGACGCGGCUCUUGCUCCUCUGACGUUAGGGGCGGGCGGGUGAGUAACACGUGUAUCCCCGCCCUAUAAGGCUGAGAUCACUACGGGACAGCGGAGCUAAUACCGGAUAAUAUAUUGAACCGCAUGGUUCAAUAGUGAAAGACGGUUUUGCUGGCACUUCUAGAUGUAUCCCGGCUGGAUUAGCUAGUUGUUACGGUAACGGCUUACCACGGCUACGAUGCGUAGCCGACCUGAGAGGGUGAUCGGCCACACUGGAACUGAGACACGGUCCAGACUCCUACGGGAGGCAGCAGUAGGGAAUCUUCCGCAAUGGGCGAAAGCCUGACGGAGCAACGCCGCGUGAGUGAUGAAGGUCUUCGGAUCGUAAAACUCUGUUAUUAGGGAAGAACAGAUGUGUAAUUAACCAUGCCCGUCUUGACGGUACCUAAUCAGAAAGCCACGGCUAACUACGUG